GACUAGAGGUUAAACGGCCGCGGUAUCUUGACCGUGCGAAGGUAGCAUAAUCAUUUGUCUCCUAAAUAGAGACUAGUAUGAAUGGCAAGACGGAACUAAACUGUCUCUUUUUCACAACCCCGAAUUUCACUUCCUUGUGAAGAGGCAAGGAUAAAAUCGUUAGACGAGAAGACCCUGUCGAGCUUAUAGCAAAAGUUUAGCCUCUACCAUAUUUAAGCUGCCCUAAUUUUUGAUGAUAGGCAAAAUAAAUUUUGGGGGACUAACCAAAGCUUUGGUUGGGGCAACCGCGGAGCAGGAAAAACCUCCGCUAAUACAAUAAACAAUUAAAGUAAGAACAACAAUUCUAAAAUCAAAAAUGAAAGAGUGAUCCACUUAGGUGACCAAAGGAACAAGUUACCGCAGGGAUAACAGCGUUAUCUUUUCUGAGAGUUCACAUUGACGAAAAGGUUUGCGACCUCGA
rnacentral:rRNA from 1 species